rnacentral:rRNA from 1 species
UACGUAGGGACCGAGCGUUGUCCGGAUUCAUUGGGCGUAAAGAGCUCGUAGGCGGCUGUUCAAGUCGAACGUGAAAACUCGGAGCUCAACUCCGAGCCUGCGUUCGAUACUGGAUGGCUAGAGUCUGGUAGGGGGAUCUGGAAUUCCUGGUGUAGCGGUGGAAUGCGCAGAUAUCAGGAAGAACACCCGUGGCUAAGGCGGCUCUCUAGUACGGUACUGACGCUGAGACGCGAAAGCGUGGGGAGCGAACAGG